rnacentral:rRNA from 1 species
AGCGACAGGCCUAACACAUGCAAGUCGAGGGGCAGCACAAGGAGCAAUCUGAGGUGGCGACCGGCGCACGGGUGAGUAACACGUAUGCAACCUGCCUGUAAGCGGGGAAUAACCCGUUGAAAGACGGACUAAUACCGCAUAAUACUAAAUUACUGCAUGGUAAUUUAUUUAAACAUUUAUGGCUUACAGAUGGGCAUGCGCAUGAUUAGCUAGUUGGAGAGGUAACGGCUCCCCAAGGCAACGAUCAUUAGGGGUUCUGAGAGGAAGGUCCCCCACACUGGUACUGAGACACGGACCAGACUCCUACGGGAGGCAGCAGUGAGGAAUAUUGGUCAAUGGACGAGAGUCUGAACCAGCCAAGUCGCGUGCAGGAAGAAUGUCCUUAAUGGAUUGUAAACUGCUUUUGCAGGGGAAUAAAGUGCAUCACGUGUGAUGUUUUGUAUGUACUCUGCGAAUAAGGAUCGGCUAACUCCGUGCCAGCCGCUGC